UACGUAGGGUGCAAGCGUUGUCCGGAAUUAUUGGGCGUAAAGAGCUCGUAGGCGGUCUGUCACGUCUGCUGUGAAAACUCGGGGCUUAACCCCGGGCCUGCAGUGGGUACGGGCAGACUAGAGUGUGGUAGGGGAGACUGGAAUUCCUGGUGUAGCGGUGAAAUGCGCAGAUAUCAGGAGGAACACCGAUGGCGAAGGCAGGUCUCUGGGCCAUAACUGACGCUGAGAAGCGAAAGCAUGGGGAGCGAACAGG
rnacentral:rRNA from 1 species